AAGAGACUCAAAGAUUACUUACAGAUGGAGAUAUGUCAUUUUGUCCAGGAAAAAUUAACUGAAUGGCAUCUCAGUGAGCUGAUUCACAGAUUUGAAGGACUUGAAUAGAACACAUGAUGAUUCUGCUGACAUGAUGGAAACAAGCGCAGAGCAAGAGGACAGUCCAGAAAUGGAGCCAAACAUUUUUCCUCAACAUUUGGAAUCUUCUUCAGCGUCUGACACAACAGAUGGCAAAGACAGGAUGCAGGACCACAACAUUUAUCCAUUUCAGUUGGAGUCUGCUUCAGCAGUUGACAGAGGCAGUGACACAGUAAGAAGGAAUAUUGAUGUUUCUCCUCAAGUCAUGUUGUUAUCCCAAUAUUAUUUGUGUAUAUAAAACACAUGUUUGUUUGUCUUUUCAGAGUAAUGAACCAAUUUGCUCCUGGGCAACAGUGACACAAGGACAAAGUCCAACCACAUUUACAAUGUUUUACUGUCAAGAGUGUAAAAACUUCAUGGGAAACGAUCCUGAUUCUUGUUGUUCUCACUGUGCCUCUGUGUUCAACAAAGCAAGCAGCAUUCAAAAUGGAAACUUCUUUCUGUACUCAUCCCUGAAAGACCUUCUGAAAGGUAUCCUUGAGAACCACAGCGCUGAGUUGUUACCUAAAACAGUUAAAGAUGAGCAUGAUAACAUCAAAGAUGUGAUGGAUGGGAUGAUGUACCAGAAUCUCCUCAGAGAGGGUAAACUAGCUGCAGAUGAUCUCACACUGACAUGGAAUUUUGAUGAAGUACCAAUUUUUAGCACCACCAGAUACUCAAUUUGGCCCCUUCAGUUUGUUAUUAAUGAACUUCCUUACACACAAAGACAGGAAAAUAUGAUAGUUGCUGGAUUUUGGUUUGGCCAAGGAAAACCUCAUAUGAACACAUUUCUGAAACCAUUUGUGGAUGAAUGUUGUGAUUUAGCCCAAAAUCCAUUUCAGUGGAGAGACAGCAGAGGCACUCUUCAUUCAUCAAAAGUCUUCUGCUUGGUUUGCUCCUCUGACGCUGUGGCGAGGCCACUUCUCCGGAAUUGCAAACAAUUCAAUGGAGAAUAUGGUUGUGACUGGUGUUUACACCCUGGCACAGUGGUACCAAAAGGCUCUGGCUCUAUGAGGUCAUACCGAUAUGAUGAAACUAAACAAGCAUCAAGAUCAAAAAAUAUGUUUGUUGAAAACACCUCAGAGUAUGGUGUAAAAGGAAUGUCCUUACUUUCCAGACUUCCUUUGUUUGACAUUGUGUUUGGAUUUGUACCAGAAUAUAUGCACUCAGUUUUAGUUGGUGUGACUAAGCAACUUAUUGGAUUGUGGCUGAACUCAGAGAACUCCAAGAAAGACUGGUAUGUAGGUCAACAGAUUUCACAGAUGGACUCUUAUCUCUUAAAGCCUCCAUCAGAAAUGAGCAGAUCUCUACAGUCACUGAAGGGUCGGGACUCUUGGAAAGCAUCUGACUGGCGAGCUUUCCUUUUAUUUUAUGCUGUUAGUGUCCUACCAGGCAUCCUUCAGCCUUCAUUUCUCCAGCAUUUUUUUUGUUUGUCGAUCAGCAUUCACAUUCUGCUACAAGAAUCAGUCUCCCAAAAUGACCUUCAGCUGGCCCAUGAGAACUUGGUACUCUUUGUUAGAAACAUGGAAGAACUCUAUGGUGAAGAAAACGUUUCAUUCAACUGCCAUCAGUUGAUCCACUUAGCUGACUGUGUGCGUAACUGGGGGCCUCUCUGGGCAACAUCAGCAUUCAGUUUUGAGAGGAACAGUGCAAAUUUAAGGGCACUGCUUAGCAACAUAAACUACAAUCCUCAAAAAAUUCAAGACAAGUUUCUCCGUUGGCAGCGCCUGCCGAGUCACCUUCGCUCCCUUGUUUCUAACGGAAAUUCUCCGUUAGCCAGAAUUUCACCAGUAAAUGAAACCACUGAUUGUUACGAUCUGCUUGGAAAUUCACGGCAUCUGGAUAUCACAGGAUCCAUAAAACUAGCAAUAGAAGAGCUCUUAAAUCGACCUGUUUCAUUCAGAUCAGUGGAAGCCUUUGACAGCUUCAUCAACAGAAAUACUGUUUACUCUGUAAACCAUGAAGAGACAAGAGACUGUGUCAUAAAACUCAAGAAUGGCUGCUAUGGAGAAAUACAGUUCAUCGUCAGGUUUAAAGAGAACUGUGUUUGCACAUCCAACUGUGUGUGCUCGGCUAUUUCAGUCAUUGUGGUCCAGCUGUUUUAUAUCAAACGUGAUGCAGAGGACAGCAGGAUGAUUCCUGACAGUGCAUCAAGGACUAUCUUUGUGGAAGUGGAAAGGACAACUCAGCUCAAAGCCUUCUUCUUGAGGGAUGUUAGGUGUAAAUGCAUGUAUGUGGAUGGUUGGCUGGUGACUUUACCAAACUCAUAUGAAAGAUAUUAAAGUUCCAGCACAGCUAAGGUGCUUUCUCUGUCUUGUAUAUCAUGGCACAUGGCUGUUUUUACUACAGUGAAAAUCUUGGAAAAAUGAAUGAUGAUGAAGUUUUUUCAAAGGAGUUUGGAGUCAUUUUGUUCAUAUGUGUGCGAGAUCUGUGGCUUACGUUUUCUUUUGGUGUGACAGUGUGGACAUAAUGUAGUCAGUGUAAUGUAGGAUUAUAUCACUCAGUACUGUAUGUGUAUUAUCUGUAUAUGGAGGAAAUUAUGGAGUGAUUUGUAAACAGCCAAAAGCUUGCCUUUCCCAACUUUGUAUUCACUACGUAUUUAUCAUACAUGUCAGUUUACCUCUAUUCAAACUGAAAUGCAAAUUAUUGUGACACAUAAACAUUUUGUGAAUUAACGCUAAAAAUCCGGGGUGAGUGGAUCAAUGUGGUUUACUGCAUCCUGAUACAGAUUGCUAUUACUGAGAUAACAGAUCAUAAAGCUUCAUAUUACCUCAUAUUAUUGUGUAAUGGCUGAUGAGACUUAUUCUGUUUAAAUCUGCAAUGUGUGCAAGUCUAUUGAAUAUAAUACAGAUUGAUUUGCUCAAGAAUGUUUGUAUCCUGCUACAUAAAAAUGAUUAUAAUUAAAGUCUUAUUACUUAAAUAUGCCUGAAAAAUCUGUUUGGCCUCCUUCUUCACUCUGGAUUUGUGCUGCUAUUCAGAGUCAAUUCAAAUUACUCAAAUUUGUUCGUUCCUAAAAAAGAAAAAAGGAUGUGUAAAUACAGUAAAUGAUGUUUAGAGAUUUUUGAAAAAUAA
ensembl:lncRNA